rnacentral:rRNA from 1 species
UACAGUCAUAUCAGGUUGAAACACCGAUUCUCGCAGGAUCACCGAAGUUAAACAACGCUGAGCUUGGUCACUACAUAGAUGGGUGACCGCUUGGAAAUGCCAAGUGCUGUAAG